UGCAACUCGACUCCAUGAAGCUGGAUUCGCUAGUAAUCGCGCAUCAGCCAUGGCGCGGUGAAUACGUUCCCGGGCCUUGUACACACCGCCCGUCAAGCCAUGGGAGCCGGGGGUGCCUGAAGUACGUGACCGCGAGGAGCGUCCUAGGGCAAAACUGGUGACUGGGGCUAAGUCGUAACAAGGUAUC
rnacentral:rRNA from 1 species